GUAGAAAUGACUCCGUUCAUCAGGAUUUCUACCUUUGUUGCACAAGUUAAUUCACCCAAUUCAGCUGGAAUUCGGCAUAUAGCUAUAAUUUCUACCAUUCGAAUGGAUUCAGGCGAAUUCCCCGUGUAAACUCUAGGUGGCCGCCAUUUCGGCACUUUACACGUGGUCGCGGCCAUUUUACGUGCGAACAGCGGUGUUUGCCCGUCAAACGCGUGGAACUAAAAUCGG